GGUACGUAGGAAAGGGAGGGGAAGGGAGAUGAGAUUGGGAGACGAGUGAGCCGAGAUCCUGUUUAUAUUCAAGUUCACAAAUUUGACAAGACUAUACAGGAUAAGCUGUGUUUAUGAUAUGAAGGAAAGGGAAGAGAAGGGAGAUGAGUAAGCUGAGAUCCUGUUUAUAUUCAAGUCCACAAAUUUGACAACACAAUACAGGAAAAGCUCUGUGUAUUUAGUGUGUCAUCGAAGACCGCGCCAUUUAGAACAGUAUGGGAUUCUAUAGCUUGGUUCGGGAGUGUUACAAAGACCAUGAUGGACUGUGGAAGCGGCCCUUAAUGUUCCCUUUUCUAAUAUGCUUCUCUGUUUUUGCAGGAUGCCGCGGACGGACCAUGCAGAGGACUCAUCGCGACGACACCAACGGUUUGGUUAAGUGGGUUCUCUUGUGUGUGCGUCUGUGUGUGAAUGGCAGGCCUGUCGUAUGAUUGUGUGUGUGUGUGCGUUGGCGGUAUGCCUUCGCACUAUUAUUUUGUUAGGAUGUAUUUUUUUGUGUGUGAACUUUUUGCACGUAAUCUUUUUUUAUACCCAUAGCUAGCGUUUGUUUGUGUGUUGCUGUGUUCCGGGAGAUGGGCGCCGGGGGACAUGGGCUGGGGAGGGCGCACGUGACCUCCUCUGUCCGUGACCUCUUCAGCUGGGGAGACCGCGUGUUGCCCCGGCUGGAGAGACACGUUGAUGGAGGCGGCUGCGUGUGUCGUCCCUUGCCUGUAUCCUCUGGCGUCCAGAGGCGCGUAAGUGGAGAGCAUCGGCGCAGCGCGGGAGCAGCACGUCAGGGUGUAGGGUGUUUGUUUAGCUGGUGUAGGGUGUUAGGGUGUUAGGGUGUUAGGUGUAACAACGGUUGGCUCUUUCACAGAACGGGUGUGAUUCCGUUCUGCGUUUGAGUCUUCCACCUUCAGACGGUCUCCCUCCGAGAUGUCUGAAGUUUUUUUGUCGGUUUUCUCCGUAGGAGGAAGCCGACUCUAGCUACUCUGGCCUCUCUUCCGGGGGUCAGAGCGGUCGGGCUCUGCUUGGCCAGGCGUUGCCUUUCGCGUUGUCUCCGCCGAAGUUUUGCCAGACUCUUCCGUAAGGUUGAGCCUGGCUUUUUUAUUAGGUGGAUCAGGCUGCCUUCUUCCAAGGAGUCUGAUGGGAGUGGAGUCUUUUUUUUGGUGUAUGUCUGUGGGUGCUU